AGCGACGCAUUUCUAGUUCGUAAGAACCGGAUCUGACGGAGCGGCGAACGGGUGCGUAACACGUGACCAAUCUGCCCCGAAGACCGGGAUAGCCCGAGGAAACUCGGAUUAAUACCGGAUACCCUCUCGGAACCGCAUGGUUCUUUGAGGAAAUACUCAGGUGCUUCGGGAUGAGGUCGCGGCCCAUCAGCUUGUUGGCGAGGUAACGGCUCACCAAGGCUUCGACGGGUAGCUGGUCUGAGAGGACGAUCAGCCACACUGGAACUGAGACACGGUCCAGACUCCUACGGGAGGCAGCAGCAGGGAAUCUUGCGCAAUGGGCGAAAGCCUGACGCAGCGACGCCGCGUGGAGGAUGAAGGCCUUCGGGUUGUAAACUCCUUUCAGGAGGGAAGAAAAUGACGGUACCUCCAGAAGAAGCCCCGGCCAACUACGUGCCAGCAGCCGCGGUAAUACGUAGGGGGCGAGCGUUGUCCGGAUUUAUUGGGCGUAAAGGGCUCGUAGGCGGCUUAACAAGUCGGCCGUGAAAACCCAGGGCUCAACCCUGGGACGCCGGUCGAUA
rnacentral:rRNA from 1 species